rnacentral:rRNA from 1 species
AGAUUGAACGCUGGCGGCAUGCCUUACACAUGCAAGUCGAACGGCAGCACGGGAGCAAUCCUGGUGGCGAGUGGCGAACGGGGUGAGUAAUACAUCGGAACGUGCCCAAUCGUGGGGGAUAACGCAGCGAAAGCUGUGCUAAUACCGCAUAAGAUCUACGGAUGGAAGCAGGGGAUCGCAAGACCUUGCGCGAAUGGGAGCGGCCGAUGGCAGAUUAGGUAGUUGGUGAGGUAAAGGCUCACCAAGCCUUCGAUCUGUAGCUGGUCUGAGAGGACGACUAGCCACACUGGGACUGAGACACGGCCAGACUCCGUACGGGAGCAGCAGGUAGGGGAAUUUGGACAAGUGGACGAAGCCGUGACUCCGAGCC